rnacentral:tRNA from 1 species
GGUGACGUGGCAGAGCGGCCGAAUGCACCGGUCUUGAAAACCGGAGAGGGGUCACACCCUCCGUGGGUUCGAAUCCCACCGUCACCG